UUCGGGGUUAAGUAGAGUGGCGAACGGGUUAGUAACGCGUGGGAACAUACACAGCACAGGGGGAUAACCAUUGGAAACGAUGGCUAAUACCGCAUACGCCCUAUUGGGGAAAGAUUUAUCGGUGUUGGAUUGGCCCGCGUUAGAUUAGCUAGUUGGUGGGGUAAUGGCUCACCAAGGCGACGAUUUAUAGCUGGUUUGAGAGGAUGAUCAGCAACACUGGAACUGAGACACGGUCCAGACUCCUACGGGAGGCAGCAGUCGGGAAUAUUGUGCAAUGGGGGCAACCCUGACACAGCCAUGCCGCGUGAGUGAAGAAGGCCUUAGGGUUGUAAAGCUCUUUCAGAUGUGAGGAUGAUGACGAUAGCAUCAGAAGAAGCUCCGGCUAACUUCGUGCCAGCAGCCGCGGUAAUACGAAGGGAGCUAGCGUUGUUCGGAAUUACUGGGCGUAAAGGGCGUGUAGGCGGAUUAUCAAGUUAGGGGUGA
rnacentral:rRNA from 1 species